rnacentral:rRNA from 1 species
UACGUAGGGCGCAAGCGUUAUCCGGAAUUACUGGGCGUAAAGCGUGCGCAGGCGGUUUGUCGCGUCUGCUGUGAAAAUCCGGGGCUCAACCCCGGACUUGCAGUGGGUACGGGCAGACUAGAGUGUGGUAGGGGAGACUGGAAUUCCUGGUGUAGCGGUGAAAUGCGCAGAUAUCAGGAGGAACACCGAUGGCGAAGGCAGGUCUCU